GAUGAACGCUGGCGGCGUGCCUAAUACAUGCAAGUCGAGCGAACAGACGAGGAGCUUGCUCCUCUGACGUUAGCGGCGGACGGGUGAGUCACACGUGGAUAACCUACCUAUCAGACUGGGAUAACUUCGGGAAACCGGCGCUAAUACCGGAUAAUAUAUUGCACCGCAUGGUUCAAUAGUGAAAGACGGUUUUGCUGUCACUUCUAGAUGGAUCCGCGCCGCAUUAGCUAGUUGGUAAGGUAACGGCUUACCAAGGCGACGAUGCGUAGCCGACCUGAGAGGGGGAUCGGCGACACGGGAACGGGGACACGGUCCAGACUCCUAAGGGAGGGAGCAGUAGGGAAUCUUCCGCAAUGGGCGAAAGCAUGACGGAGCAACGGCGCGUGAGUGAUGAAGGUCUUCGGAUCGUAAAACUGUGUUAUGAGGGAAGAACAAAUGUGUAAGGAACUAUGCACGGCUUGACGGUACCUAAUCAGAAAGCCACGGCUAACUACGUG
rnacentral:rRNA from 1 species